rnacentral:rRNA from 1 species
CGGGCACCACCGGGAGUGGAGCCUGCGGCUUAAUUUGACUCAACACGGAAAAUCUCACCAGGCCCGGACACCGGAAGGAUUGACAGAUUGAUAGUUCUUUCUUGAUUGGGGGGGGGGUGGUGCAUGGCCGUUCUUAGUUGGUUGAGCGGAUUUGUCUGGUUAAUUCCGAUAACGAACGAGACUCUGGCCUAUUAACUAGACAUUAUAUCCUUUAUGGGUUUGACGAUGCUUCUUAGAGGGACGGGCGGCUUUUAGCCGCACGAGAAUGAGGAAUAACAGGUCUGUGAUGCCCUUAGAUGUUCUGGGCUGCACGCACGCUACACUGAAAAAAUCCGCGUGCGUUCCCUAUCCGAAAGGAUUGGGAAACCCGUUGAACCUUCUUCGAGAUGAGGAUUGGGGAUUGCAAAUAUACCCCCUGGAACGAGGAAUUCCCAGUAGGCGCGAGUCAUAUGCUUGCGUCUAUUACGUCCCUGCGCUUUGUACACACAGCCCGUCGCUACUACCGAUAGAGUGAUGUAU